rnacentral:rRNA from 1 species
CCUACGGGUGGCAGCAGUCGAGAAUCAUUCACAAUGGGGGAAACCCUGAUGGUGCGACGCCGCGUGGGGGAAUGAAGGUCUUCGGAUUGUAAACCCCUGUCAUGUGGGAGCAAAUUAAAAAGAUAGUACCACAAGAGGAAGAGACGGCUAACGCUGUGCCAGCAGCCGCGGUAAUACAGAGGUCUCAAGCGUUGUUCGGAAGCACUGGGCGUAAAGCGUGCGUAGGCUGUUUUGUAAGUCGUGUGUGAAUGGCGAGGGCUCAACCCGCGGACGGCACAUGAUACUGCGAGACUAGAGUAAUGGAGGGGGAACCGGAAUUCUCGGUGUAGCAGUGAAAUGCGUAGAUAUCGAGAGGAACACUCGUGGCGAAGGCGGGUUCCUGGACAUUAACUGACGCUGAGGCACGAAGGCCAGGGGAGCGAAAGGGAUUAGAUACCCCAGUAGUC